UACAGAGGGGGCAAGCGUUGUUCGGAAUUACUGGGCGUAAAGGGCGCGUAGGCGGCCUUCUAAGUCGAACGUGAAAUCCCCGGGCUCAACCCGGGAACUGCGUCCGAUACUGGAAGGCUUGAAUCCGGGAGAGGGAUGCGGAAUUCCAGGUGUAGCGGUGAAACGCGUAGAUAUCAAGUGGAACACCAGUGGCGAAGGCGAGUCUCUGGACAUUUCCUGACGCUG
rnacentral:rRNA from 1 species